UGGGGAAUAUUGGACAAUGGGGGCAACCCUGAUCCAGCAAUGCCGCGUGGGUGAAGAAGGCUUUCGGGUUGUAAAGCCCUUUCGGUGGGGAAGAAAGGCGGUGCGUGAAGAGCGCACUGAGUUGACGUUACCCACAGAAGAAGCACCGGCUAACUCCGUGCCAGCAGCCGCGGUAAUACGGAGGGUGCGAGCGUUAAUCGGAAUCACUGGGCGUAAAGGGCGCGUAGGCGGUUUAGCAAGUCGGAUGUGAAAGCCCUGGGCUUAACCUAGGAAUGGCAUUCGAGACGGUUGGACUGGAGUGUGGUAGAGGGAGGCGGAAUUUCCGGUGUAGCGGUGAAAUGCGUAGAGAUCGGAAGGAACACCAGUGGCGAAGGCGGCCUCCUGGACCAUGACUGACGCUGAGGUGCGAAAGCGUGGGGAGCGAACAGG
rnacentral:rRNA from 1 species